GAGACAGCAGCAGCCGCGGUAAAACGGAGGGGACUAGCGUUGUUCGGAAUUACUGGGCGUAAAGCGCACGUAGGCGGCUUGGUAAGUUAGAGGUGAGAGCCCGGAGCUCAACUCCGGAAUUGCCUUUAAGACUGCCGAGCUAGUAGGUGAGAGAGGUAAGUGGAAUUCCGAGUGUAGAGGUGAAAUUCGUAGAUAUUCGGAAGAACACCAGUGGCGAAGGCGGCUCACUGGACCGACACUGACGCUGAGGCGCGAAAGCGUGGGGAGCAAACAGGAUUAGAGACCCCUGUAGUCCCUGUCUCUUAUAC
rnacentral:rRNA from 1 species